rnacentral:rRNA from 1 species
CAUAGCGUUAGGGAAACGCCCGGUUACAUUCCGAACCCGGAAGCUAAGCCUUUCAGCGCCGAUGGUACUGCAGGGGGGACCCUGUGGGAGAGUAGGA